UGGGCAACCUGCCCUCAGCUCUGGGAUAACUCCGGGAAACCGGGGCUAAUACCGGAUACGACCUUCUCUGGCAUCAGGGGUGGUGGAAAGUUCUUCGGCUGAGGAUGGGCCCGCGGCCUAUCAGCUGGUUGGUGAGGUAAUGGCUCACCAAGGCUUCGACGGGUAGCCGGCCUGAGAGGGCGACCGGCCACACUGGGACUGAGAUACGGCCCAGACUCCUACGGGAGGCA
rnacentral:rRNA from 1 species